ensembl:lncRNA
UUUUAGUGGGGCCUCGGGAGCGCGCUCGCGCCGCAAGAAGGGGCGCCCCGGCUCGGCCCGGAGCGCGGACGGCGGAGUCGCCAUCUUGUACUCGGCUCGACCCUAUCUGGUGCCGGGGAACGUGGGACCGAGGGCCCGGGGCUGGAAGGAGGCGCGGGCGCGAGCGGGGCGCGUUGCCGGUGGCACGCGCGUGCUCUAAGUGGAGCGCGGUGAUCCCCCAUCCGCCCGCCCGGGCUCUGCAAACCUCUGGGCCAGGUCUCGCCACCGGGCCUGCCGGGCGGGCCCUGACUCGCGAAGGGGCGGAGCUGCCUGCGGCCACCACUUCCUGAGAGCCGGGGAUACCCAUCCCGGACGUCACGGAGGAGCCGAGGCGGCGGUGGCGGCCCAGGACUCAGGCUGCACUUGCAUCAUGGGUGCAGCAGCAGCUGCCCCGCUCCUUUGUGCCUUUUUCCCCCUAUUGAGUAACUGCUUUGUUAACCGAAAAUACCAUGACGGACCAGUGUGAUCACCAGUUCCAGACCUCAAAGAAAGUGAAGCUGUCAGGGCUUGAGUUUGAGCCGGGGCCUCAUGCACACUAGGAGAGCCCCCUACCACUGAGCUACACCCCCGGUCCUCCACCAGCCUCUUCACUGGCCUCGUUAGCCUCACCAGACCAUUUUACACAACCCUGUGUAUCUCUGAUCUAUCUUCAGAUACGUGCUGCUAAAGUUUCAACAGUUUGUAGAGGUUUUUGGAAGCACCUACCCCAAGACAGAUGCAUGGAUACUAAAAACUGUGUUGGUUGCACAUAAUCUGAAGAAUUGGUUAUGCAUUCUGUAACAUCCAUUAGCUACUCUAUGAUUGAGCCAUCUUCCCUCUAAUCCCCUCAAGUUUCCCUUUCUGGAUCUGUGAAUAGAAAUAUCUGAGUCUCCCAGGACGUUUUCAAUGAGCAACACUGUGAUGUUCUGCAGCACUGACUUAGAGGACCUGUCUGGAUUUCUUGCUGGAGCCAGAGCAGAAUAAGGCUCUGGGAUGGCAUUUCGGGCAUUUCUCCUGUCUUUCUUCUCUGAGAUGCCCGGCAUCUUUGGAGACAGUUCCCAUAUACAGGGAAGAACCAUGUGAAGAUGUUCCCGGAUCAGUUCUUCAUUUCAGCAGGUGGUCCUCUCUGGAGGAAUAGUGUAAUCCAUUCACAGGGCCUUCAGUGAAUGCUCUCUCUACUCAGCCACCAGUUCAGGCACGUCAUCUAGCACAUGGCUGUCAGAGAGAACUUCCAUACAAGACUCCUUUGCUCUUCCCUUAUCGAUUACCCACCUGAGCUGGAAGGAGAGGGUUUCCACUCAUGAUGCUGUAAGAUCAAUCUUCUAAAGACUCAAGAACAAUAACCAGUUGCUGGAAGGAAGAGUGUUCCGGCCUGCUACACAGACAUAUUGACACAUAUGCGAGGAGACUGGAGCCCAAAGGAAAGUGAGAGCAAAAUCUGGCAAGAUUUGAGAGAAGAGGAAGACUAAAUUGCAGGAAAGGGGAAAGCUUUGUAUUUUCCUUAAAAGAUAGUAAAAUUGCCCAGCAGUGGUGGCAAAUAUCAUCAAUCCCAGCACUCAGGAGGCAGAGACAGGUAGAUCUCUGAGUUCAAAUCCAGCCUGGUCUACAGAGCUAGUUCCAGGACAGCUAAGGCUACACAGAAAAACCCUGCCUGGAAAAUAAAAACAAAUGAACAAAAAGUAAUAAAAUUAGGGCACACAGAAAUAUAGGGAAGGAAAAAUAUUACUGUCAGGUAGAAAGUAUAUUUGGCUUGCAAUUAACUGAAUUUUGGUUCAAUUUUCUCUAAUUCCUAGUUUCAUCUGUAAAAUGUAGGAUACUAAUAGCAAAACUUUGCUUCAGGAUUUUUUACGGUUAAAAAGGAUUAGUUACAUGCAAAUUCUCUGGCCAGCCCCUGGGUUGCCAAGCCUGUGUAGAAGACAUUGGAGACAACACCAAGCUGUGUGCUGAAGACUUGUCCUGCUCCUAUUAUUUGUUAAUUGUCUGGGAAAGUCUUAAAAAAUUGCUCAACCUUAGUUACUUCUUCUGUAAAAUAGGGACAAUUAUCACAGCAAUUUUAUAGGAACCAUUUAAAGAAGAAACAAGCUAGUUCAUAUAGAGUAAAAUAUUUGGUGCCGAAGUUCCUGCUGUUGAAUGACCACUGCAGAUGGCCAAGGAUUGACAGAGCUGCUGCUCUUGCAGGGACCCAGGAUUUGGUUCCUAAUAUCCAUAACAGCAAGUGUUCACAAUUGCCUGUAACUCUACUUCCAGGGGACACUGAGCUGUCUUCUGCCUCUGAGAACACUUGCACAAUACACUGGAAAUAAAAUGGAAAUAAUUAAAAAUAGUAUUUUUUUGUAUCUCUGUGAGUUUGUGGCCAACCUGGUCUAUUGAUCGAGUACCAGGACUGACAAGACUAUACAGAGAAACUGUCUUGAAAAAAAUAAAACAAGCUAGCCAAACAAGCAAACAAAAAGCCAAAAAGAAAAAGAAAAGGAACAAUUCCUUAAAAUUAAAAAAAAAGAUGUUUUGGUAUGUGCCUGUGUGUGUACAUCUGUGUGUCUGUGUGCACAGGUUCAUGUGCACAUGUUUGCAGAGGCCAGAGGUCAAUGUCUGCUGUCUUUCUCAAUUGCUCUCCACCUUAUUUUUAAGACAGGGUCUCUCACUGAACCUGGAACUAGCUGAUUUGCUAGACUGUCCACCCAACAAGUCCCUGAGACCAUCUUGUCUCAGUAUCCCCAGAGCUGGGGGACUGAUUAUAAGCAUGCCCCUGGCUUUUUCAGGUGAAUGUUGGGGAUCCAACUCAAUUUCUUUACCAACUGAGCUAUCUCUCCAACCCCUACUGCUAUCUUCUUUUUUAGAAGGUACAGAGGAUCCAGUGGUAAUUUUGAGCGGAGGGUAAUGGGUUGGCUGAAAGAUGGGAUGAGGAACGAGUGUGGUAAAGAGGGGCUAUAAUCUGUUGGUGGUUUCUAAAUGGAACUGAGUGGUGAAGGGCUGAGGAGAGACCAAAAAGAGAGUAAGACUAAUCAAAAUAUCAGUAACUGCUGGUUAGAGACUCGAGAACUCGAUGAGCAACCAUCAUAGGAGGGGUGGAGAAAAGCUACUCAUAUACACUCAUAUACUGGAGAUGCAGUUUUCAAACCCCAGUGUGUGUGACUCACCUGGGGAACCAGAAUGUGGAUUCUCCUCUAGUUGGUCUGGAUGGACCCAGAGAUGCUGCCAUUAUUAACCAAAUCUCAAGAAGUGCAGAGGAUGCAUAAGUCACACCAGCAAGGAUGCUAAGGGUCAUGAGGAGAAAAAAAAAGAGUUUUGCUUGUUUGUUUGGUUGUCUUUUUUUUUUUUUAAGGAACUAAAUCAAGACAAAAAAAAAAACAAAAACUUACCAUACUAAGUUUGGUUUCCUGAAUUUGGCAUUAUGGGAUGUAGAAUAGUGUGAUGAUGAAAGGUUAGAUUAAUUUUCAGAUCAGGAUUAACCCUUUCUCCACAAUUAUUAGAAAGAUGAUUCUGGGUUUUUUGACCUUUGCUCUCUGGUUUCUAACUGAGAGGUUGCAGAGACUAGAUCACAAGACUGCUGCAUUGAUUAAUGGAGACACUCUGUUGUAAAAACAGGGGUGAUACUUACUGAAGGAAUAAAAAUCCUCUCUGUAGAUUUCACACAAUGUAAAGAGUAACUCAGCUCCUGGAGAGGCCCGUCUGGGCCUUUUCACAUUCAACUUUUCUGUUAG